rnacentral:piRNA from 1 species
AGAUAUUCUUAUAUGGCCAUAC